AUUGAACGCUGGCGGCAUGCCUUACACAUGCAAGUCGAACGGCAGCACGGGAGCAAUCCUGGUGGCGAGUGGCGAACGGGUGAGUAAUACAUCGGAACGUACCUGGUAGUGGGGGAUAGCCCGGCGAAAGCCGGAUUAAUACCGCAUACGACCUGAGGGUGAAAGCGGGGGACUCGCAAGGGCCUCGCGCUAUUGGAGCGGCCGAUGGCAGAUUAGGUAGUUGGUGGGGUAAAGGCCUACCAAGCCUGCGAUCUGUAGCUGGUUUGAUAGGACGACCAGCCACACUGGGAAUGAGACACGGCCCAGACUCCUACGGGAGGCAGAAGUGGGGAAUUUUGGACAAUGGGCGCAAGCCUGAUCCAGCCAUGCCGCGUGCGGGAAGAAGGCCUUCGGGUUGUAAACCGCUUUUGUCGGGGAAGAAACGGUGGGAGCUAAUAACGGGGGUCCAUGACGGUACCGUAAGAAUAAGCACCGGCUAACUACGUGCCAGCAGCCGCCGUAAGAC
rnacentral:rRNA from 1 species